rnacentral:rRNA from 1 species
GAUGAACGCUGGCGGCGUGCCUAAUACAUGCAAGUCGAGCGAACAGACGAGGAGCUUGCUCCUCUGACGUUAGCGGCGGACGGGUGAGUAACACGUGGAUAACCUACCUAUAAGACUGGGAUAACUUCGGGAAACCGGAGCUAAUACCGGAUAAUAUAUUGAACCGCAUGGUUCAAUAGUGAAAGACGGUUUUGCUGUCACUUAUAGAUGGAUCCGCGCCGGAUUAGCUAGGUGGUAAGGUAACGGCCUACCAAGGCAACGAUGCGUAGCCGAUCUGAGAGGAUGAUCGGCCACACUGGAACUGAGACACGGUCCAGACUCCUACGGGAGGCAGCAGUAGGGAAUCUUCCGCAAUGGGCGCAAGCCUGACCCAGCCAUGCCGCGUGAGUGAUGAAGGUCUUCGGAUCGUAAAACUCUGUUAUUAGGGAAGAACAACUGUGUAUGUAACUAUGCCCGUCUUGACGGUACCUAAUCAAAAAGCCACGGCUAACUACGUG